AUUCAUUCUUGAUCAGUUGUUACAAGGGUUGAAACCAUGGCCGAUGCCGGGAAAUAUUCGCAGGUUGAGUCAAAAGAAACCGAAGAAUGCGGCAAGGAAAAUUUGAACCCGCGAGGAAAAUGGAUCGGAAAACUGGACUUCUUGCUCUCUCUUAUCGGUUUUUCUGUUGGUCUUGGUAACGUUUGGAGGUUUCCGUAUCUUGCAUACAAGAACGGCGGAGGUGCUUUCCUGAUUCCGUACUUCAUCUGUCUGAUUGUCGGAGCCAUUCCGUUAGUUUUCUUGGAGGUCGGCAUCGGUCAGUUUACAUCUCAGGGUGGAAUAUCAUGCUGGGGAAUAUGCCCUAUAUUUAAAGGAAUCGGUGUCGCCAAUAUGGUGGUGGUACAAUUCGUGAACUAUUACUACAACGUCAUCAUAGCAUGGGCCCUGUUCUAUAUGUUCAAUUCUUUCACGAGUGUGCUACCUUGGUCGAACUGUAACAACGAUUGGAAUACAGAGUAUUGUGCAAGUGUUGACGAUUUUGUCGCAGCCAACGCAAACAACUACACAAGCCGAUACUUUGACGGCCAAUGGUACAACGGUACAGUCUACGACGGAAAGAUUAACGGAACAAAACUCGUCCCUGCUGCUAUAGAAUUUUGGGAGCGUAACGUGCUAAAAAUACAUCUAUCUGAUGGUUUUGGGGAUCCAGCAGGUCUGAAUUGGCCGAUGGUAGGCUGCCUUGCUCUAGCGUGGGUCAUUAUUUACUUCUGCAUUUGGAAGGGAGUCAAAAGCACUGGGAAGGUUGUCUACUUUACUGCAACAUUUCCUUACAUUCUACUUACCAUCCUCUUGGUCCGCUCUGUAACGCUUGAGGGCGCUGGCGUUGGACUCGAGUUCUAUCUCAAGCCGAAUAUGACCUCUUUAAAAGAAUCACAGGUAUGGAUGGAUGCGGCCACCCAGACAUUUUACUCUUAUUCCAUCGGAGUUGGCACGUGGUGCGCCCUCAGCAGUUUUAACAAGUUCAACCAUAAUUUCUGGAGGGAUUGCGUGCUGUUCGCGUUCGUCAACUCUGGGACUAGUAUUUAUGCUGGAAUCGUCAUCUUCUCUGUAAUCGGAUUUAUGUCGGUAACUCAAAAUAUUCCCGUUGAUGAAGUUGCAAGAUCUGGCCCAGGCCUAGCAUUUGUUGUGUAUCCCGAAGGAAUAGCGCAGAUGCCCGUGGCUCCACUAUGGUCAUUCAUGUUUUUCUUCAUGAUAUUAUUACUUGGAAUUGACAGUGAGUUUGUACAAGUAGAAGGAUUUAUCACUGCGAUUGUAGACUUGUUUCCCAAGUACCUCCGACGAGGGUAUCGCAAGGAGAUAUUCAUUGCAAUCGUCUGUUUCUGGUCGUUCCUCGUUGGUUUAUCUAUGGUUACAUACGGUGGGAUGUAUGUAUUCCAAUUAUUUGACUUCUACGCUGCAAGUGGAUCGACGCUGCUGUGGUUAGCUUUUUUUGAGGCCAUUGCAAUCGGCUGGGUGUAUGGAUCAAGACGCUUUUUAAACCAUUUUGAGGAGAUGUUAGGGAGACGAGUUAGAGGAUACUGGCUUAGAACUUGCUGGACAAUUUGCACUCCAUGCUUCACAGUGGGAAUAUUUCUGUUUGGUCUAAUCAAGUACAAAAAGUUGGAAUAUGCAUCGUUUGACGACAAUUACGUGUACCCGAUGGGUGGGUACAUUUUUGGAUGGCUUUUAUCUGUUUCAUCCAUGGUGAUGGUACCAAUAGUAGCAGCCGUUCAAUUCUUUCAUGCAGACGGUACCUUGGGGGAGAGACUGGAGUAUCUCACAACAAGUCGAAUUGUACACAGAGAAAAAACAAACGCAUACGGAUUGGAAAAUAUAGCGAGUGAAGAUAUGAAGAUGUAGACUACUGGAUGUCAUUAUUUUUUCCUUUUACUAGUUCAAUCAAUGUUGAAACACAAAUAUAUUUAGUGUUAUUGUCAGUGUUAUGCAAUAUACAAAACGGGGAACUUGUGUGUCAUCUGUUAUGUUACUAUACACAAUAUGUAUAUAUAUUUAUAAAUAUAUAUAGACCUAUAUAAAUUCAUGUUGUUUCCUAUAUAUACAUACAUAUAUAUAAACAUAUAUAUAUAAAUAUAUAUAUAUAUAUAUAUAUAGGCCUAUAGUAUAUUUACGCUAGGUAUAAAUAUGAGUUGUUACUCCGAGUUUCACGCUUAAUGGCGAUCAUCAGACAACUGUAAUUAGGCCUAGGUGUUAUGCUAUUUAUAUUGUUCAUAUAUAGUUUGUUUGCCUCGAUUCGGACUCGAACUUCCAAUGAAAGGCCCAGCAAGUUAACGCGUUUAUAUUGUUCCUUUAUUCGACUGCUGUUAGAAGUGUAUAGGUACCUCAUAUGUACUUUAGUUCUUCCUAAAAUGAGGACUUUUGAGUGAUCUAAUUAAUACCCUAUGUGGUACAUGUUUAACUUAUGUGAAGUUUAUCAUUAAAGGCUAAAGCUGCAAUCACAUCGGAUUUGAACCGAAAUUCGAGCCCCGUUUACACACUGAUUAUUUUCUGAUUGCUUCGUCUGUGGGAUUUCCGAUCCGAAAAUUCGGAGUCGGUGUGAAUGCGCCUUAAGUCAUGUUUUAACAACAGAAGAUCUCAAAGGUGAUUAUGAUACAGUCCGCCAAUGUAGAAAAAUUUACCAUUCGGCUAAGCCCCGCCCCUUGGAUAUUGUUGCUAAGGUCUAAACGACAGCGUAAAAACAGACGCAGACACAUGCGUUUGUGGGACAGCACGUGUUUGUGAUACACGCGCGUAUUCCAGGCUCUGUUCUGAUUGGUCAGUUGUUGAUUGACACUGCGGAAAGAGGUCUAUUGAUAUUAAGACGAUUUUACAAGUGUAUGGAAUUAGGCGCAUUUAGAAAGUAUGUGUUAAUAUAAAUAUUUGUAAAUCGAUUUGAUAAUUGCAUAGAGAUGCUGCCAGGUUAACCGAGGUCAUGAAGUAUUGAAGGUCAUGUGACCUAUCAUUAAAUCACCAAUAAUAAGUACAGUACUUGGUUUUGAGUAGUUUAAGUCUAUAGGCCUAUAUCUUUGAAUUCCCUUCAUACAUGUACAAAGAUGUCAUUGUAAUAAAAUAAUAAGUUUCAUUAGGUAGCCUAAAAAUUUUGCACUUGUACUUUUGUAUUACUAUAUGGAAAUCAAUUUUCCGAAAUUAAUAUUGUGGGUGAGUUUUAGAAUUUGACAUUAGAAGCUAUAAGCUAGAUGCUUGAAAAUUGUAUUCUGAUGUUCCUUAUAUAAAUUAUACAGUGUGAUGGUAAUUUGUCUUGUUGAUAGAUGUCUGUCUCGUGAAUCUUAGAAUUAGAUGUCUGGGAAACAUUAUUUAACUUAAUUACAUAUUAGAAAAUAAAAACACCAUGGGAGCGACUUGGGUAGAUCAAGAAAGUGUUUAAUCGUAGAUUACAAUCUAAGGUGUGUUAUAUUACCAUUAAAAAAAACACACAUUUUAUCAAAGCAUAUUUGAAACUUUCAUUUUUUGUAAAACAAACAAAUGAAUUUCAUACGAGAGAGUUAAGCUGGUUUCCAUACAAUCGCUACAUUGUUUUCAGUUCAUUCGUUGAACUGCGCUCCUCGAUUCGACCGACCACCAAUCAGCUUAAAGCCUGGUUUCCAUAAAAAUCGCUACACGCUGUCGCCGCCUCCUUUAGCGACGCUGAUUGGUCAGGAUCAGGGAGCGUUCCAGAAUGCGUCGGGGCAGUGCAAGGAUUUUAGUAAAAAAAAAGCAAAAAAGUUUGUGUGAUGUGCCCAUAUAUGGGCAUGAUGAUGUCAUUACACCCAAAUAUGGGCAUAUCACAUUUUAGUCGCAUUGAUGUGGACAGCUGAGCUACAAGCUUAAUGGAAUUAGAAGGGCUUAGAUGUAGUAAUGCCAAAAAUACAUCACUUUUUUUGGGUAGCAAGGAAAGCAAGACACUGGGGCAUAUUCCAUUAUAUUAUCUAUAUAAAAUACGUGAGAUAAUGUGGAGAGCCUAAACACGUUCACCUAGUCUGUAUUAAGUCAAUUUUUUAUUUGAAUACAUAGAUAAUCGGCCAGUACUCGAAAAUUGUUUAUUGAUAUCUCAUUAUCGUUAUCAACUAAGUAUAUGUGUGGUUUGCCAUUCUGUCUAAAUGGAGAAUCGAAAUUGAUACUGUAAGCCUACUUAUAAUAUAUUAGCAAUUUGUAUUUCACCCAUUGUUAUUAGAUUAUCCAGUUUUAAUAUUAAUACAUAAUUUGGGAUUAAAUCCAAGACUAUUGUUUUGAAAGUUGUAUGGGUUUCUUGAAUAAUAAAUUAAUAUUUAGGGUGUCAAUGUGCACCACUAGUGCGUUUUCCCCCUUUUUUAAACAUUGUGAUUCUUUUGAUGAAAAAAUACGUUUGAAUAAAAUUGAAUGAUUGAUUCAGAUUGAUUGACUGAUUGA